CAUAAGUAACGAUAAAGCGGGUGAAAAGCCCGCUCGCCGGAAGACCAAGGGUUCCUGUCCAACGUUAAUCGGGGCAGGGUGAGUCGACCCCUAAGGCGAGGCCGAAAGGCGUAGUCGAUGGGAAACGGGUUAAUAUUCCCGUACUUGGUGUUACUGCGAAGGGGGGACGGAGAAGGCUAUGUUGGCCGGGCGACGGUUGUCCCGGUUUAAGCGUGUAGGUGUGUGUUCCAGGUAAAUCCGGUUCACUUUAACACUGAGGCGUGAUGACGAGGCACUACGGUGCUGAAGCAACAAAUGCCCUGCUUCCAGGAAAAGCCUCUAAGCAUCAGGUAACAUCAAAUCGUACCCCAAACCGACACAGGUGGUCAGGUAGAGAAUACCAAGGCGCUUGAGAGAACUCGGGUGAAGGAACUAGGCAAAAUGGUGCCGUAACU
rnacentral:rRNA from 1 species